UGGCAAUUCAAGAACUGUGCUCAAUCCAUCUCUGAAGGCGUGAGUUUCCAGAUGGGCAAAACUUUUGCUUCGAGAAUGGUAAUUUCAAUUCUUAUUCGUUAGCCAUAAGCCAGUCUUGAAGGCAAUUCUUAUGGAAACCUUGAGACGAUUUGUGUUCCAAAAGUUCCUAGGACUCGACAAAAAUUAGAGCCUGGCUCCAUCAGAGACACCUAUACACUUUUCUGCCUGGAGAAGCAUUUAUUAAGCUUACUCAAAUCAAUGAAGCUCAAGCACCUGAAAAUCUUCAUGACACAUCUUUUCAUUUUCUUAAUGUACACUACUAUUCGGAUCAAAUUGAUCCGAAUUACUAAUUGGGGUUUGUUA
rnacentral:misc_RNA from 1 species